UCAUUUUUGGUUGAUUAAUUCUAUCUGACUUUGCACCGUGGAGUGGAUUUCAAGUAGAUUUACAGUAGAAUUUCGAAUAGAGAAGUAAAAAGGGGAAAAUGAACUUCACAGAGAAAGAGGUAAGGUAAAUGUGGUUUCAAAAUCAGCCUCCAAAUGACAUAAAAUUACUAAAAUGCCACUAUUCCUCCCUCCCAAUAAUUCCACACUUCCCUCUUAUUACGAUUGUUAAAUUACUUGCAAGUUACAACUAUACCCUUACCUAAAAUAAAAAAACAAAAAUAUAAAACUAUUCCCUCUCCAGAUACUAGAAAGCCUUAAAAGAAAAACA
rnacentral:lncRNA from 1 species